AGUAGGAUGUGGACGCGAGUACAAGAUUAUUACCCGCCUAUGUAGUUCUCAGAAUCAAAAAAAAACUUCUACGAACUCUUGUCAUUCAUUUAUCAAAUGUACUGUUGAUUUCAGGUUCUCUUGUUGUUGCCGACGGUAUGGCCAAUGGCUGCCACUAUCAGACAGUAGAGCUUGGAUCAAGAAUACUGGGAAAUAUCUUUGAUGGAAGUUGGCUUCAGUUGGAAACUUCAAAUUUUGGACUGGAAAUAACAUUACCAGUUAGAGAUUCUUUCUAGCUCCUCACUGUUGCUGGAUAUCAAUCUGUUAACUUUACAGAGGCCUUUGAACUUGAAGACUAUUGCAAAACUAUCUGGUGAUGUAUACAUCUCUCGCGGGUUCGUCUGUUCCAGCUCUUGACAAAGAUUGUUCUUGGGAGUUCCAGCCAAAUAAAUUUGGUAUUAUGUUUACCGCACAACAUUAAUUUGUUGAGGUCUUCCUUCAUCACUUAAUAAGAGAUGAUACCCUUCAGGGAUCAUCAUUCCAUUUGUUCUCUAAGUUGCAUUAUUGGUCCUUUAAUAUCGUUUA